rfam:Picea glauca, whole genome shotgun sequence.
AUACCUUUACCGACCUUUUGACUAAGAUGAAGUGUAGUAUUUGUUCUUAUUAGUUUAAUAUUUGAUACAUGGUUCAUAGAACCACAUGAUAUUAAAUGUAUUAUUCUAGGGGGAGGGCCCACUCACAAUAGCUUACUAUUGGGGCUCUCGCCCGUCCCUUGUGCGUUGCACUACAACAGCACCUCAACUCAAA